UAAUCUGCCCACUGAUUUAAUAAUUAAAGGGCUGCAGUAUAUUGACUGUACAAAGGUAGCAUAAUCAUUAGUCAUUUAAUUGAUGACUUGUAUGAAAGAUUGGAUGAAAUAUAAACUGUCUCUUAAUUAAAUAUAGAAUUUAAUUUUUUAAUUAAAAAGUUAAAAUAAAUUAAAAAGACGAGAAGACCCUAUAGAGUUUUAUAAUUAAUUUAAUUAAGAUUAUUUAAUAAUAUAAAAUUAAAAUUAAGUUAUUUAUUUUGUUGGGGUGAUAGAAAAAUAUAUUAAACUUUUUUUAAUUAAAAACAUUUAUAAGUGAUUAAAUGAUCCAAUAUUAUUGAUUAUAAGAAAAAAUUACCUUAGGGAUAACAGCGUAAUUUUUUUUUUUAGUUCAAAUAAGAAAAAGAGUUUGCGACCUCGAUGUUGGAUUAAGAUAAAAUUUAAAUGCAGAAG
rnacentral:rRNA from 1 species